GAUGAAGAACGCAGCGAAAUGCGAUAAGUAAUGUGAAUUGCAGAAUUCAGUGAAUCAUCGAAUCUUUGAACGCAUAUUGCGCCCCCUGGUAUUCCGGGGGGCAUGCCUGUUCGAGCGUCAUUUCACCACUCAAGCCUCGCUUGGUAUUGGGCAACGCGGUCCGCCGCGUGCCUCAAAUCGACCGGCUGGGUCUUCUGUCCCCUAAGCGUUGUGGAAACUAUUCGCUAAAGGGUGUUCGGGAGGCUACGCCGUAAAACAACCCCAUUUCUAAGGUUGACCUCGGAUCAGGUAGGGAUACCCGCUGAACUUAAGCAUAUCAAUAAGCGGAGGA
rnacentral:misc_RNA from 1 species